UCCUCCCGACCGAUGCACCAUGAUUGAUGUUGGAUUUAUCAUGGUGUCUUAGUCAGGGGUAG
rnacentral:pre_miRNA from 1 species